rnacentral:rRNA from 1 species
UACGUAGGGGGCUAGCGUUGUCCGGAUUUAUUGGGCGUAAAGAGCGUGUAGGCGGCCAAGUAGGUCCGGUGUGAAAACUCGAGGCUUAACCUCGAGAUGUCAUCGGAAACCAUUUGGCUAGAGUCCGGAAGAGGAAAGUGGAAUUCCCGGUGUAGCGGUGAAAUGCGCAGAUAUCGGGAAGAACACCCGUGGCGAAGGCGGUUGCCUGGAGCUUUGCUGACGCUGAUGCGCGAAAGCGUGGGGAGCGAUCCGG